GCGGUCAUGGCGGAAUUGGCAGACGCGCACGGUUCAGGUCCGUGUGGGAGACCAUGGGGGUUCGAAUCCCUUUGACCGCACCA
rnacentral:tRNA from 2 species